AUUGAACGCUGGCGGCAUGCUUUACACAUGCAAGUCGAACGGUAACAGGCCUUCGGGUGCUGACGAGUGGCGAACGGGUGAGUAAUGCAUCGGAACGUGCCCAGAGGUGGGGGAUAACGCAGCGAAAGCUGUGCUAAUACCGCAUGUGAUCUGAGGAUGAAAGCGGGGGACCAGGCAGCAAUGUUUGGCCUCGCGCCUUUGGAGCGGCCGAUGUCAGAUUAGGUAGUUGGUGGGGUAAAGGCCUACCAAGCCGACGAUCUGUAGCUGGUCUGAGAGGACGACCAGCCACACUGGGACUGGGACAAGGCCCAGACUCCUACGGGAGGCAGCAGUGGGGAAUUCUGGACAAUGGGCGCAAGCCUGAUCCAGCAAUGCCGCGUGCGGGAAGAAGGCCUUCGGGUUGUAAACCGCUUUUGUACGGAACGAAAAGGCUCUGGCUAAUACCUGGGGCUGAUGACGGUACCGUAAGAAUAAGCACCGGCUAACUACGUG
rnacentral:rRNA from 1 species